AGCUUGCUCCCGGAUGUUAGCGGCGGACGGGUGAGUAACACGUGGGUAACCUGCCUGUAAGACUGGGAUAACUCCGGGAAACCGGAGCUAAUACCGGAUAGUUCCUUGAACCGCAUGGUUCAAGGAUGAAAGACGGUUUCGGCUGUCACUUACAGAUGGACCCGCGGCGCAUUAGCUAGUUGGUGAGGUAACGGCUCACCAAGGCGACGAUGCGUAGCCGACCUGAGAGGGUGAUCGGCCACACUGGGACUGAGACACGGCCCAGACUCCUACGGGAGGCAGCAGUAGGGAAUCUUCCGCAAUGGACGAAAGUCUGACGGAGCAACGCCGCGUGAGUGAUGAAGGUUUUCGGAUCGUAAAGCUCUGUUGUUAGGGAAGAACAAGUGCAAGAGUAACUGCUUGCACCUUGACGGUACCUAACCAGAAAGCCACGGCUAACUACGUGCCAGCAGCCGCGGUAAUACGUAGGUGGCAAGCGUUGUCCGGAAUUAUUGGGCGUAAAGGGCUCGCAGGCGGUUUCUUAAGUCUGAUGUGAAAGCCCCCGGCUCAACCGGGGAGGGUCAUUGGAAACUGGGAAACUUGAGUGCAGAAGAGGAGAGUGGAAUUCCACGUGUAGCGGUGAAAUGCGUAGAGAUGUGGAGGAACACCAGUGGCGAAGGCGACUCUCUGGUCUGUAACUGACGCUGAGGAGCGAAAGCGUGGGGAGCGAACAGGAUUAGAUACCCUGGUAGUCCACGCCGUAAACGAUGAGUGCUAAGUGUUAGGGGGUUUCCGCCCCUUAGUGCUGCAGCUA
rnacentral:rRNA from 1 species